GUAAGCCUGCUGAGGGCAAAUAAAGUGGAUGUGUGAGUCGAAACCGCCAUAUGUCACAAUCUUGCCUUCGGCAGCAACAACAUCCGUAUUAGAGCCGACGAUCAUAUCGGAGUGCACACCGGCCAUUACAUCUGGGUUGCCAGCUUUGCCAAUACCGACAAUCAUGGCAUUCUUGAUACCAAUAUCAGCUUUGUAAAUUCCGCUCCAGUCCACGAUCAAUGCAUUGGUAAUCACGGUAUCGAGACAAGAAGCGUCAGGAAUGCCAACCAUCUGGCCCAUACCAUCCCUUAC
rnacentral:sRNA from 1 species